rnacentral:misc_RNA from 1 species
GAUGAAGAACGCAGUGAAAUGCGAUACGUAAUGUGAAUUGCAGAAUUCAGUGAAUCAUCGAGUCUUUGAACGCACAUUGCGCCCCCUGGUAUUCCGGGGGGCAUGCCUGUCCGAGCGUCAUUGCUGCCCUCAAGCACGGCUUGUGUGUUGGGCCGUCGUCCCCCUCCUAGGGGACGGGCCCGAAAGGCAGCGGCGGCACCGCGUCCGGUCCUCGAGCGUAUGGGGCUUCGUCACCCGCUCCGUAGGCCCGGCCGGCGCUUGCCGACGACCAUCAAUCUCUUUCUCCAGGUUGACCUCGGAUCAGGUAGGGAUACCCGCUGAACUUAAGCAUAUCAAUAAGCGGAGGA